rnacentral:rRNA from 1 species
UGGGGAAUAUUGGACAAUGGGCGAAAGCCUGAUCCAGCCAUGCCGCGUGUGUGAAGAAGGUCUUCGGAUUGUAAAGCACUUUAAGUUGGGAGGAAGGGCAGUAAGCGAAUACCUUGCUGUUUUGACGUUACCGACAGAAUAAGCACCGGCUAACUCUGUGCCAGCAGCCGCGGUAAUACAGAGGGUGCGAGCGUUAAUCGGAUUUACUGGGCGUAAAGCGUGCGUAGGCGGCUAAUUGAGUCGGAUGUGAAAUCCCCGAGCUUAACUUGGGAAUUGCAUUCGAUACUGGUUAGCUAGAGUGUGGGAGAGGAUGGUAGAAUUCCAGGUGUAACGGUGAAAUGCGUAGAGAUCUGGAGGAAUACCGAUGGCGAAGGCAGCCAUCUGGCCUAACACUGACGCUGAGGUACGAAAGCAUGGGGAGCAAACAGG